UGUUCAUAAAACAUCAUAAAACCUAAAGCUCAGCAGAGGCUGCCUGCCCCAGCAGCAUGACUCAGCGCCAGAGCCUCCGCAUCUCAUGCUGGUGCUGUGACAGGACAUAGGGCUCCAGGCACACCCUCACCGUGUGGCUUUUUCAGACUUGUGAGGAACAGGGGAAAGCACCCUGGAUGUUUGACUGUCACUUAUGACUUACUUUCCCUGCCCAGCUCUGUGUUGCAAACUGGCAUUAUAGAGUUAAAGAAGGCUAUGCUGAAGUUACUUGAGAAGCCAGGCAGGAAAGGGAAAACAAUAGCUUGGAUAGAAAACAUCCCCAAUCACAGAUGACCAGGCUUAGAGGCGUGGGGAGUGUGUCCUGAGCUCCAGUCCUUGUGAAGGCAGGACAGACGUGGGGGAAUGAAACCCUGCAAGUACAAACCCCGCAGCAAGGCAGGGAGCAGUGGAGGGCUGCCGGGCUGUGGCAGUGAGGUGAGAUGCUGUCAGCCUGGGGAGGCUGUGAUGGAGACAGAGGUGUCGGCUGUGAGCAAUGCUGGCUGCUCCUGUGGCUUCUGAGGAUGAGUGAAUGGGAUCUGCCAGGUCUGGGAACACAGUGGAUGCAUUUAGAAGAGCGUGGAUUUUGUACGGAGGAUGGUUCUGAAUGUCAGGACUGACGUUUUCUCGAUCUGAACACAGCACUGCACACCAGCCUUGCUCUGGUUCCCACCAGCCCCAGCUACAACACAUCCCAAGUGCCACGCACGAGCCAGGGACACGGCCCAAGGAUGAAGUAACGGGAGCUGACUUGCGGUGUGCAACGUGAUCAGGGCAGCACAGAGCAGCAUCGGGUGAACUGAACAGGGUGCGAGCAGAGCUCACCAUGUCCUGGGCUGCACCAGCCUUCCUGCUCCCUUCCUGCUAUUCCUCGAAAAGCUCCCAGCCGCAUACUGGCAUGAACUGAUCCCACUCAGUUCUUGGCAUUUAGCAUUCUCACGGGCUGCAGUGAUUCAUAGAAAGCUCCUUGUUCUGCCCCUGGAAUGAGCGUACAUGAUUCAGAGCCUUUUUUUUUUCACGCAGCUAUGCUGCAGUCUCCUAAAAAUGCAUGUGCAGGCAGAUCGUUCUGCAAAUCCUAUGGCAACGGGCUGCACAGCGGCUGGCUGGCUGCAUGACAAUGUGCAAGGCUUGUGCAUGGAGAAACACCACACUCACAGGGAGAAAACUUCCUAGGAAUAUUAGUAUUCAGCACCCACUACCAAGAUAUCAGAGCAAUCCGGCAAGGUCUGACUGCUCAGAAUUAUUAUUCAUGUACAGUGGAAUACGCAUUUUUUUUUAAGCAGCAUUGUGAAUUAAUGCUAGCAAAAUGUAAUUUGUAAUUUAAAUGUAAAUCGGAAUUGACUAAGAAUAUAAUUAAGCUCUGGAUCCCUCAGUGGUAUUUGCUAAACAGUCUGUUUUGUGGUGCUUUAUUCACCAAGAUGUUAAAGUUCACUGUCCAUCCUGAAUACCUCCAAGUAUGUUAUCUGUAUACGUGUGCCACAAAUACAUAAGUAACAACAAAAGCUCAGGGCUGAUCCAUGUGACGCAGUUGAUGUAUUUCUGCCAAAACAAAGGCUGCUUUGCACAGAGGGUUAGAUGACAACUUGCUUUUCCUGUGCACUUUUUCAGCCCAUUUUACAUACAAAGGUACCUGGGCCCAAAGCCUGCUGCCAGACACAUGGCUCCUCUUCCCUUUGACGAGCAGAACUGAAAUCAUUACUGACAGCUGAAAUUAAGAUUUUAAUAAUCACUCGAGCUCGUUUUCGCAUAGACCCAAGAGGAGCACAUCCUACGACGUGUGGUGUGUCAGCCACUUGCAUCAAAGUAAAUGAAAGCCGAGGCUUUGCAGCGCUGGAAGGAUGUUCAGCAACUUUCUGCAUGCUGCAGCCAAGUGGGUUUUCUUCAUACAAAUACUGGGUAUAGGUGCAGUGGGAAGCUUGCCCUUUUAUGAAGGUGAGGACAUACGUACGUUAGCAGUAUGCAGAGUGUAAAUGGUGUUAAACAGUGCCCUUCCAUCAUCUUGUAUCACUGAAUACUUUCUGGCAUCUGUUUGUUUUAUAUCCCUCUCCAGAGAUGGAUGCACUGGCUGGAAGUUUGUCUGCUCCUGUGCAUUGAUCUGAAAAUGUUCAGUUUUGAGCUUCAAACUUCACUUUCUGGAGCUGCUUCAAGGAAAGCUUGAUUUAAACUCACCUGGGAUUUCCUAAAUCCUUCCCCUAAACUCUGAGUCGUUUUACAUGAAAAGAUGUGUUGGCUGGUGGGUCUCUAGUCUCACCUGCUGCCCCAGGUGGACUGGCCACAACAGCUGGGGCAAGGGGUAGAGCAAAGGAGACACUGCUUUCCUUAGCUCUGCUUGGAAACCUUUAAGAUGGAGGAUUUCCAAGGACAGGCCUCUCUCUCCCUGGAUACCCAUCCCAGCUCUGUGCCACCCUCCUGGUGAAAGAGAUAUUCUGUCCACUCCGGGGAGCCUAUGACUUGAUGAUCUUUUGCUCAACAACUACAAAAAAUUCAGAAGAAUCCUCAUCCAGGUUACAGGAGCAUUGAAGAAGGGGGAGUGUACCAGAAUCCUGAAGGUUGGUUUUCCCACUGAUUUGCAAGACAUCUUUGUAGCAUACAGUGUUGAACUCUGUACAUAUAGUGUUGAAGUCCUGUAUUUAAAUUAAAAAAAUGAAUACACAAAAUGUUAUUGUUCAUAUGCAAAAACGCUUACAUGCAAAUCCUAAAUUUAUUGCCAUAAAAAUCUUAUCAGCUUACCUUAA